ACUCCGGUUGAUCCUGCCGGACCCGACCGCUAUCGGGGUAGGGCUAAGCCAUGGGAGUCGAACGCCCCGCCGCUGCGGGGCGUGGCGGACGGCUGAGUAACACGUGGCUAACCUACCCUCGGGACGGGGAUAACCCCUCGGGAAACUGGGGCUAAUCCCCGAUAGGCGGGGGGUGCCUGGAAGGGUCCUCCGCCGAAAGGGGCCGCGGGGGGUUAUCGCCCGCGGUCCGCCCGAGGAUGGGGCUGCGGCCCAUCACGGUAGUUGGCGGGGUAAUGGCCCGCCAAGCCUACGACGGGUAGGGGCCGUGAGAGCGGGAGCCCCCAGAUGGGCACUGAGACAAGGGCCCAGGCCCUACGGGGCGCACCAGGCGCGAAAACUCCGCAAUGCGGGCAACCGUGACGGGGCUACCCCGAGUGCCCCCCUUGGGGGGGCUUUUCCCCGCUGUAAGUAGGCGGGGGAAUAAGCGGGGGGCAAGACUGGUGUCAGCCGCCGCGGUAAUACCAGCCCCGCGAGCGGUCGGGGUGCUUACUGGGCCUAAAGCGCCCGUAGCCGGCUCGACAAGUCCCCGCCUAAAGCCCCGGGCUCAACCCGGGGAGUGGCGGGGAUACUGUCGGGCUAGGGGGCGGGAGAGGCCGAGGGUACUCCCGGGGUAGGGGCGAAAUCCAUUAAUCCCGGGAGGACCACCAGUGGCGAAGGCGCUCGGCUGGAACGCGCCCGACGGUGAGGGGCGAAAGCCGGGGGAGCGAACCGGAUUAGAUACCCGGGUAGUCCCGGCUGUAAACGAUGCGGGCUAGGUGUUGGGCGGGCGUGCGAGCCCGCCCAGUGCCGCAGGGAAGCCGUUAAGCCCGCCGCCUGGGGAGUACGGCCGCAAGGCUGAAACUUAAAGGAAUUGGCGGGGGAGCACCACAAGGGGUGGAGCCUGCGGCUUAAUUGGAGUCAACGCCGGGAACCUCCACCGGGGGCGACAGCAGGAUGACGGCCAGGCUGAAGGCCUUGCCCGACGCGCUGAGGGGAGGUGCAUGGCCGUCGCCAGCUCGUGCCGUGAGGUGUCCUGUUAAGUCAGGCAACGAGCGAGACCCCCGCCCCUAGUUGCCAUCCCCGGGGCGACCCGGGGGGCACACUAGGGGGACUGCCGCCGCUAAGGCGGAGGAAGGAGGGGGCAACGGCAGGUCAGCAUGCCCCUAAACCCCCGGGCUGCACGCGGGCUACAAUGGCGGGGACAGCGGGUGCCGACCCCGAAAGGGGGAGGCAAUCCCUCAAACCCCGCCUCAGUUGGGAUCGAGGGCUGCAACUCGCCCUCGUGAACGUGGAAUCCCUAGUAACCGCGCGUCAUCAUCGCGCGGUGAAUACGUCCCUGCUCCUUGCACACACUGCCCGUCGCUCCACCCGAGGGGGGAGGGGGUGAGGCCCUCUCCGCCGGGAGGGGGUCGAACCCCCUCCCCCCGAGGGGGGAGAAGUCGUAACAAGGUAGCCGUAGGGGAACCUGCGGCUGGAUCACCU
rnacentral:rRNA from 1 species